UCAGUCUCUCUGUGCAUGCCGGGUGGUUGGGUGUCUGGAGUAGAGUGAACCUCGCUGGUUUUUAAUAGCAAAUCAAAUAUAAAAUGUACUACAAAUUCAGCGGGUUCCCCGGGAGACUGAGCGGAUCUAAGCCGGCUCUCGCCUACUGCCCUCAGGGGCUGAGACCAGGUGUGCCUUCGCAGCCCCAGCCCAUGAUGUUCACCACUCCGACCAAAGUGGCAUCGCAUUCAGGAGAGAUGGUGCAGUACCUGAGGGCCAACAGAGUCCCUGACCUGCAGAGGCUCUUUCAGAGUUCUGAUGGAGUCCCUGUCCACCUGAAGCGGGGUGUUCCUGACAAGCUGCUGUACAGGACCACCAUGGCACUGACGAUAGGCAGGCUCAGAUGGAACAGAUCUGUAAAUGGUGUAAUUAGUAAAAGCAGGCAGCUGUCUCUGGAGAAGGACCCUGUUCAUGAUUCAGUAUGAAACCCCAUGAUUCCUGCUGAAGUGUGAAGCUCAGGGGAGCUCGGUCCACCGCACACACACACACAGCCUGGAUGGGGAGUACAGAGGAACAGACUGAGCCAUUUCUUAUAGCUUGUGACAGUAAUUAUGAGCAUUGUAAGUGUGUCCUAUUUCUGGAGUGACCCCUGGUACCUGUCCAUCCAUGGGGAGUUAGCUGAAGAGGUGACAUUUCAAAGUCAGUCGUUUACCAUAAGGAACAAUAAAAACACUUCUGUUUUGUUUUUUCUUUUCAUUUCUGGCAAUAGGGAAGUAAGUUUCAACACGAGAUGUCGCCUUGUAUGUCUGACUGAAACCACAUCACUUUAAAAACAGAUGCUUUUUGGUUGAUUUCCCAUUUUAUCUAGUUUUAAAGGUUUUCUCCCCUAUCUCCCCUAUCUCCCUCUGUCCUUUUCUUUCACAAUAAUCAAGCUGAGAUUUCCCUUGGACAUGACAAUGCUUUCCUUCGAUAUACUUCUUCUGAGAAAUACUCUCCAUGUUUUAUUGUGCUCUGAGCAUGCCUGUCAGAAUUCCCCAUUGGCUCUGAAUGUGUUUAUGAUUAGAUAGCCUGUAGUUUAUGAGUCGUGGUUAAACAUGUGAUCCAUCCAUCCAUUAUCAUUAACUGCUAACAAAACAUGGUGUCCUAACAUGCUGCUCAGCUACUCCCCCCAAGCCUAAGCCUAAGGCCUGCUUCCCAAAGAAACUCAAAACACCAGGAGCGACUCACAUUCACAGCUCUAGCAGCUCCUAUUAAACCAUGCUCACUGCCCCUGAGCUGCCCCACACACAACACAGGUGCAUUGCUCAGACAGGGUGUGCUACCCAGCAAGUCCUCAAGGCUCUGGUGAAUCCUACACCUCCCAGGGGGGAUCUUCUUUAAACAGUGUUACCUUCUCUCCAGAGGGAGCAUCCCCUCAUUGCAGCCAUGGAAAGAUCAUGGAGACUAGAGAGAACCUGAAACGUCAGUGUUAACCGUGCACUCCUGUGGGGUCAGAGCACAGACCGUGCAACAGCUGGGAUCAAAUGUCAAUCCUUUGCAUUACAAGUAUGCAUUCAUGAGGCAACAUGAGUUCAAGUGUCUGGAAGUGAAAGUAGAGGCAGCGAGUGAAAGUUAUCCCUCAAGUGUUAAAGCAUCUAAAGGUAACCCCUGUGUUCAGGUGGACCAGACUGACAGGUUCACUUGUUUGAAGGAAAUGUUUGAAGGCGCUGAUGCCAUAAGUACAACCACUAUUGGACGCAUAUGUAAAAGGCACCAAAUAAGUAGGAAACAGAUUGAUUUGGUGCCUUUUCAAAGAAAUGAGGAGAGAGUGAAAGCAUUGCGAUGUGAAUAUGUUCAGAGAAGGAUGGAGUUGGAUGAGGGAGUUAACUAUCAUGAGUUCCUCUAUUCUGACAAAGUGGUCUUCAGUCUGGCAGUGGGACGGGAAUAUAAUAAUGUGUGAGGCCAUAUCACAAGAUGGAGUUAUGGCACACAGUCCUGUGCCAGGGCCAUACAAUUCAGCCCAUCUGCUGAAUUUUUUUAAUGUUCUGCAUAAUCGCCUCGUUCAUCCAAAUGCUGGAGUUAAAUUUGUGGUAGUCUGGGACAAUGUCAAUCUCCAUCAUGCAUUGGUAGCACAAGCAUGGUUUGCAGUGCAUCCAGACUUCAGCAUGAUGUUCCUACCACCAUAUUCCCAAUUUCUCAACCCUAUAGAGGAAUUUCUUUCAUAGUACUCAAAGAAAUGAAAGCAGUUAUUUACAAACCACUAACCAAGAUCAUGUAACAGUC